rnacentral:rRNA from 1 species
GAUGAACGCUAGCGACAGGCCUAACACAUGCAAGUCGAGGGGCAGCACAUGCGUAGCAAUACAAUGGUGGCGACCGGCGCACGGGUGAGUAACACGUAUGCAACCUACCUGUAAGAGGGGAAUAACCCGGAGAAAUUCGGACUAACACCGCAUAAUACCUCGAAGCUGCAUGGCUUUGAGGUUAAAUAUUUAUAGCUUACAGAUGGGCAUGCGUAACAUUAGAUAGUUGGUGAGGUAACGGCUCACCAAGUCAACGAUGUUUAGGGGUUCUGAGAGGAAGGUCCCCCACACUGGUACUGAGACACGGACCAGACUCCUACGGGAGGCAGCAGUGAGGAAUAUUGGUCAAUGGGCGAGAGCCUGAACCAGCCAAGUCGCGUGAGGGAAGAAGGUUCUAUGGAUUGUAAACUUCUUUUGUAAGGGAAUAAAAAAGCUUACGUGUAGGCUAUUGUAUGUACUUUACGAAUAAGGAUCGGCUAACUCCGUGCCAGCCGCCGCAGUAAGAC